rnacentral:lncRNA from 1 species
CUCGCAGCGGCGGCAUCUGUCUUUUAAGUCAUUUCCUAAGACGGCUCCUCUUAUUCUACGAUAAUCCAAGCUGCAGCGGCACCUCACGAACUUCUUACUGGGGCAGUACUAUAAUAGGCAUUUGCGAGUGUUUGGAUGCACGUGUUUUGUUCAUAUUCCUGCGCAGUUAAGAGCAAAAUUGUCCCCAAGGCGACCACUUGUGUCUUUCUUGGAUAUGCUCAGUCCGGGUAUAUAUA